AGGGCAGAGUAAACAGGAGGGAGCUGACCUGCCAAGCUCUCCCUCCCUUUUUAAAAACCAAGUUGUGUGUGUGUGUGUGUGUGUGUGUGUGUGUGU